rnacentral:rRNA from 1 species
AGCGAACGCUGGCGGCAGGCCUAACACAUGCAAGUCGAACGAACCUUUCGGGGUUAGUGGCGGACGGGUGAGUAACACGUGGGAACGUGCCUUUAGGUUCGGAAUAACUCAGGGAAACUUGUGCUAAUACCGAAUGUGCCCUUCGGGGGAAAGAUUAAUCGCCUUUAGAGCGGCCCGCGUCUGAUUAGCUAGUUGGUUGAGGUAAUGGCUAACCAAGGCGACGAUCAGUAGCUGGUCUGAGAGGAUGAUCAGCCACAUUGGGACUGAGACACGGCCCAAACUCCUACGGGAGGCAGCAGUGGGGAAUCUUGCGCAAUGGGCGAAAGCCUGACGCAGCCAUGCCGCGUGAAUGAUGAAGGUCUUAGGAUUGUAAAAUUCUUUCACCGGGGACGAUAAUGACGGUACCCGGAGAAGAAGCCCCGGCUAACUUCGUG